GUUUUAGUAGUUGAAGUACAACAGUGGUUUUUCAAGUCGCAGGUUUUGGUUAAAUUCAAACUAAAAUG
rnacentral:tRNA from 1 species